GUCCACGCCCUAAACGAUGUCAACUGGUUGUCGGGAAGCAAUUCCUUGGUAACGAAGCUAACGCGUGAAGUUGACCGCCUGGGGAGUACGGCCGCAAGGUUAAACUCAAAGGAAUUGACGGGGACCCGCACAAGCGGUGGAUUAUGUGGAUUAAUUCGAUGCAACGCGAAAACCUUACCUACCCUUGACAUGUACGGAAGCCUGCAGAGAUGCGGGUGUGCCCCGAAAGGGAGCCGUAACACAGGUGCUGCAUGGCUGUCGU
rnacentral:rRNA from 1 species